rnacentral:rRNA from 1 species
UACGUAGGAGGCAAGCGUUGUCCGGAAUUACUGGGUGUAAAGCGCGUGUAGGCGGCAGGCCAAGUCUGUGGUGAAAUCGCUCGGCUCAACUGGGCGGGGUCCAUGGAAACUGGUCAGCUGGAGGACGGUAGAGGUGAGUGGAAUUCCCGGUGUAGUGGUGAAAUGCGUAGAGAUCGGGAGGAACACCCGUGGCGGAGGCGGCUCACUGGGCCGGUCCUGACGCUGAGACGCGAAGGCGUGGGGAGCGAACGGG